rnacentral:lncRNA from 12 species
UGUGCUUGGUACUCUGUUUGAAAUGUAUGGUGUCACUGGAAAACUCUGUCUUGAGCCAAGAGUGCUACCACUGUUUUCAGGUGUUUGCCUGCUCAACAAACAGUACCUCUGGUAAGGUCAAGAUCUUGAGGCCUCCUGGGUCUGGCAGAUGUCUGGUUUCCAGGCUUUCCC